UACGAAGGGGGCGAGCGUUGUUCGGAUUUACUGGGCGUAAAGGGCGCGUAGGCGGCCGAUCAAGUCAGGCGUGAAAGCCCCGGGCUCAACCUGGGAAUGGCGCUUGGGACUGGUUGGCUUGAGUUCGGGAGAGGAGAGUGGAAUUCCCAGUGUAGAGGUGAAAUUCGUAGAUAUUGGGAAGAACACCGGUGGCGAAGGCGGGUCUCUGGGCCGAAAUUGACGCUGAGGAGCGAAAGCGUGGGGAGCAAACAGG
rnacentral:rRNA from 1 species